rnacentral:rRNA from 1 species
UACGUAGGGCGCAAGCGUUGUCCGGAAUUAUUGGGCGUAAAGAGCUCGUAGGCGGUCUGUCACGUCUGCCGUGAAAACCCGAGGCUUAACCUCGUGGCUUGCGGUGGAUACGGGCAGACUAGAGGUAGGUAGGGGAGAACGGAAUUCCCGGUGUAGCGGUGAAAUGCGCAGAUAUCGGGAGGAACACCGGUGGCGAAGGCGGUUCUCCGGGCCUUACCUGACGCUGAGGAGCGAAAGCAUGGGGAGCGAACAGG